AGAGCGAACGCUGGCGGCAGGCUUAACACAUGCAAGUCGAGCGGGCGUAGCAAUACGUCAGCGGCAGACGGGUGAGUAACGCGUGGGAACAUACCUUUUGGUUCGGAACAACCCAGGGAAACUUGGGCUAAAUACCGGAUAAGCCCUUACGGGGAAAGAUUUAUCGCCGAAAGAUUGGCUCGCGUCUGAUUAGCUAGUUGGUGAGGUAACGGCUCACCAAGGCGACGAUCAGUAGCUGGUCUGAGAGGAUGAUCAGCCACAUUGGGACUGAGACACGGCCCAAACUCCUACGGGAGGCAGCAGUGGGGAAUAUUGGACAAUGGGCGCAAGCCUGAUCCAGCCAUGCCGCGUGAGUGAUGAAGGCCCUAGGGUUGUAAAGCUCUUUUGGUGCGGGAAGAUAAUGACGGUACCGCAAGAAUAAGCCCCGGCUAACUUCGCGCCAGCAGCCGC
rnacentral:rRNA from 1 species